UGUACCAGGAGUAGUUCUAUCGGGAACUGGAUAGUGGCGCAAGGGUGAGUAACGCGUGGGGACCUCCCUCUGACUGGGGGAUGACGGUUGGAAACGACCGCUCAUACCGCAGACGCCCUUCGGGGGAAAGAUUUAUCGCUCUUAGAUGGACCCGCGUUGGAUUAAAUCUUUGGUGAAGUAACGGCUCACCAAGUCAGCGAUCCAUAGCUGGUUUGAUAGGAUGAUCAGCCACACUGGGACUGAGACACGGCCCAAACUCCUACGGGAGGCAACACUGGGGAAUAUUGGACAAUGGGCGCAAGCCUGAUCCAGCCAUGCCGCGUGAGUGAAGAACGCCUUCGGGUUGUAAAGCUCUUUCAUAUGCGAAGAUUAUGACUGUAACAUCAGAAGAAGCCCCGGCUAAUUUCGUGCCAUCACCCGCGGUAAUACAAAAGGGGCAAGCGUUGUUCGGAUUUACUGGGCGUAAAGGGCACGCAGGCGGUCCUGCCACUCAGGGGUGAAAGCCCGGGGCUCAACCCCGGAACUGCCUCUGAUACUGCAGGACUAGAGACUAGGAGAGGGUGGUGGAAUUCCCAGUGUAGAGGUGAAAUUCGUAGAUAUUGGGAGGAACACCACAGGCGAAGGCGGCCACCUGGACUAGAUCUGACGCUCACGUGCGAGAGCGUGGGGAGCAAACAGGAUUAGAUACCCUGGUAGUCCACGCCGUAGACGAUGAGUGCUAAUUGUCGGGAUUGCUAUUUCGGUGACGCAGCUAUCGCAUUAAGCACUCCGCCUGCGUGAGUACGGUCGCGAGAUUAAAUACUCAAAUGAAUUCGACCGGCGGGCCGCACACGCGGGUGGAGCAUGUGGCUUAAUUCGAAUGCAACGCGGCACCAGCAUUACCCAGCCCGUAUGACGUCGCUUAUCGUCGAUAUCCAGAGAUGGAUAUCUAUCCAAUUCCGUCUGGCAUACGUGAACACGUUGCUGCAUGGCUAUCGUCGCUCGUGUCAGUGAUAUGCUAGGUCAGUCCCGCUAGCGAUCGCAUCCUCUGCUCUAGUUGCAGUCAUUCACUUGGACAUCUAAGCAACUGUCUGUGAUCAGCCGAGUAGGCUGGGCAUUACGUACAGAAUCUCAUGUCAUACGUAGGACUUCCGCAUGCUCAUGUACUACGACGUCCGCACUGACGAACGUGCAAUCGAAGUACAGUCGAUGCUCUGGACUAGUCCAUGAUUCGGAUCCCUCGGAUC
rnacentral:rRNA from 1 species